CUCAUCAAUCUUACCAAUUAAAAAAAACACGCCUCUCUAAUCCAACUACGAAUAAUCAUACUCUUAUACUCUCCUAAACCCAAUUCUAUUCUGUUAUCUGUUCCAUUCAAAUCAAAUCCUCUCUCCCUCUAUAUAAAAGGGAACAAUACUCUAUCACUCCUCAAUGGUUUCAAUCAAUUUGGCCCUAAUUCAACAAUGAAUAUCACUUCAAUCUUCGUUUUCUCUCUCUUCAUACUUCUAGUUCUUCCCACCACAGUUCUCGGAGACUGUACUUGCGAUGCCGGAACGACCAACAGUGGAAGCAACAAGAGUAAAGCACUCACAUACAAAGUGGCGGCGAUAGCUUCUAUUCUCGUCGCCGGAGCAAUCGGAGUCUGUCUUCCGUUGCUCGGCAGGGCCGUACCGGCGCUCCGGCCCGAAAAGGAUGUGUUCUUCAUCAUCAAAGCGUUCGCCGCCGGCGUAAUUCUGGCCACUGGCUUCAUCCACGUGCUUCCCGACGCCUUCGACCACCUGACCAACCCGUGUCUCACCGGAAAAGCUUGGCAGUUUCCGUUCACCGGAUUCGUGGCGAUGAUGGCGGCGAUUGUAACUCUGAUGAUUGAUACGUUUGCGACGUCGUAUUUUAAGGGGAAGGCCGAUGAUGAUGGUAAUGCCAAGGCCGGAAGUACUACUGUCAACGUUGAGGACGGAGGUGGAGAUCACGGCGGCGCUCUUCAUGUUCACACUCACGCCACUCACGGCCAUGCUCAUGGAUCCGCCGCCGCGCUUUCGUUACAUGACUUGGGCGCCGCUGAUCUUAUUCGACACCGUGUCAUAUCUCAGGUUUUGGAAUUGGGAAUUGUGGUCCACUCGGUGAUUAUUGGAAUCUCAUUGGGUGCUUCGGAAGAGGUCAAAACAAUAAGGCCUCUUGUGGCUGCUCUCACCUUUCAUCAAUUCUUCGAGGGCAUGGGUCUUGGUGGAUGUAUCACUCAGGCAAAAUUCAAGUGUAGGGCAGUGGUAAUCAUGGCAAUGUUUUUCUCACUGACAACACCAGUUGGGAUAGCAAUAGGCAUCGGUAUAUCGAGUAGUUAUAACGAGAAUAGCCCAAGGGCCUUAGCGGUAGAGGGCAUUUUGAACGCAGCCUCAGCUGGAAUACUGAUCUACAUGGCUUUAGUCGAUCUUCUCUCAGCCGAUUUCAUGAACCCCAAGAUGCAAGCAAACCCAAAGCUUCAGCUCGGUGCCAACGCUUCGCUUCUUCUCGGCGCCGGUUGUAUGUCCCUUUUGGCUAAGUGGGCCUAAAUUAAUUAACUACAAUAUUUUAUUCACACAAUUUCUUAUUCUUAAAAUUCCCUCAAUGAGGUGGCAAGGUAAAAUAUAUGUAAUGAGAAUUUUGAGAGAAUAUUAAAAUGUAUGUCAACUUUUUAAAUUUUGAUUAUCACAUCAUUCGGGAGAAUUUAGAGAAGGAGAAAUUAUGUGGAUGAAUUUAUAUUUAAUUAAUUACUUUUGUUUCCACA